rnacentral:misc_RNA from 1 species
CAAAAUCAAAAUUCUUGGGUAGAAUGAAAUUUCCUUUCCAUUCAUAAAUUUUUACAUAGCAUUUGAUUUCAAAUCCAAGUCUAUAUACAAGUCCCUUGUCAGCAAAUCACCCAAUCAAAAAGCACCACACUGCACAUUGACUGUGAAACUGGGAACUCAAGAAAUUUUUCUCAUUUCUUCCUUGACACGUGAGAAAAGCAAACUCCUUACAUGAAAAAGAAAACCAAAAUAAAGAGCUAGCCACAUCAUAUACAGAUCACAGAUCACAUCAUAGAGCAGAUCCAUCAAUCCACACAUGACUACUCAAUCCUAUUUAUAACAUUCACAGAAGAAAGUAGAAGGAAGUAGAAAAGCCCAAAAAGAAAAAAAAUGUAAAAUCCUCAAAGUGGGUCUUGUUGUCCUCCUCCAAAUCGCUUCUUGCCCUUUCCUUGCUGACAAAAACCAUACAUAGUACCAUAUAUAUUCUGUUCUUUACCCUCCACCUUCUGUUCUUUCCUCCGGUAAUUGUUUUUUCUCUUUUCAGCGCAAAUUAACAUUAUAAACUAUAUGCAUGUAUAUAUAUUUGUUUGUAAAACUAAGCUGCAGCUACAGUGCCUGUACAAGAAGGGUAGUCCUGUGUCUUAGGAGGUGAUAUAGAUUUCUUCUGGUCUUUUUUCCUUAAAGCUUUCAUGGAAGAAGAAAGGUUCCAGUUCUUGUCUUUAGCUUCAUCAAUCUCUAUUUGCUCUUGCCUGCACUCUUCACUGCAGAAUGGAGUGUCCCCUCUAUACAUGAAGAUGUCUCUGUUAUCACUCAGUGGUCUCUUGCAAAGAAAACAAGCUUCCAAGAAAUGAGGCUGAUGAUCUUCAAAUCUCGCAUCAUAAAAUCUCGCAGAUCUUGGAGAAGCAACAGACGAUGAAAGGUUCCUGAAACUCCCCGUCU